GACGAACGCUGGCGGCGUGCUUAACGCAUGCAAGUCGAACGGAAAGGCCCUGCUUUUGUGGGGUGCUCGAGUGGCGAACGGGUGAGUAACACGUGAGUAACCUGCCCUUGACUUUGGGAUAACUUCAGGAAACUGGGGCUAAUACCGGAUAGGAGCUCCUGCUGCAUGGUGGGGGUUGGAAAGUUUCGGCGGUUGGGGAUGGACUCGCGGCCUAUCAGCUUGUUGGUGGGGUAGUGGCUUACCAAGGCUUUGACGGGUAGCCGGCCUGAGAGGGUGACCGGCCACAUUGGGACUGAGAUACGGCCCAGACUCCUACGGGAGGCAGCAGUGGGGAAUAUUGCACAAUGGGCGGAAGCCUGAUGCAGCAACGCCGCGUGCGGGAUGACGGCCUUCGGGUUGUAAACCGCUUUCGCCUGUGACGAAGCGUGAGUGACGGUAAUGGGUAAAGAAGCACCGGCUAACUACGUG
rnacentral:rRNA from 1 species